rnacentral:tRNA from 1 species
GGGCCCUUAGCUCAGCUGGCAGAGCAGGGGAUUUUUAAUCCCAAGGUCGUGGGUUCGAGCCCCACAGGGCCCA